rnacentral:rRNA from 11 species
UGGUGGAUGCCUUGGCAUGCUGGGCCGAUGAAGGACGUGUAAGGCUGCGUUAAGCCUCGGGGAGUUGUCAAUAGAGCGUUGAUCCGAGGAUGUCCGAAUGGGGAAACCUGGCACCUGUUAUGGGGUGUUACCCUUCAGUGAAUUCAUAGCUGUUGUGGGGGUUUACGCGGGGAAGUGAAACAUCUCAGUACCCGUAGGAGAAGAAAAUAAAAUUAUGAUUCUGCUAGUAGUGGCGAACGAACGUGGAUGAGGCUAAACCGUGUGCAUGUGAUACUUGGUAGGGGUUGUGUGUGCGGUGUUGUGGGCCCCAACGUGCGGUGACUACCAUCAUCGUGCUUGUGUGUUGUUGUUAGGUGAAGUGGUGUGGAAACGCCUACCGUAGAGGGUGAUAGUCCCGUAGUUGAAGGCUUCAGCAUACUUGUUGUUGGGUUGCCCGAGUAGCAGCGGGCUCGUGGAAUCUGCUGUGAAUCUGCCGGGACCACCCGGUAAGCCUAAAUACUCAGUGUGACCGAUAGUGUAUGAGUACCGUGAGGGAAUGGUGAAAAGUACCCCGGGAGGGGAGUGAAAUAGUACCUGAAACCAUGUGCUUACAAUCCGUCGGAGCCGGUCUGAUGCUGGUGACGGCGUGCCUUUUGAAGAAUGAGCCUGCGAGUUAGUGGUGCGUGGCGAGGUUAACCCGUGUGGGGAAGCCGUAGCGAAAGCGAGUCCGAACAGGGCGAUUGAGUCGCGUGUCCUAGACCCGAAGCGGAGUGAUCUACCCAUGGGCAGGUUGAAGCGCGGGUAAGACCGCGUGGAGGACCGAACCCACCAGGGUUGAAAACCUGGGGGAUGACCUGUGGGUAGGGGUGAAAGGCCAAUCAAACUCCGUGAUAGCUGGUUCUCUCCGAAAUGCAUUUAGGUGCAGCGUUGCGUGU